CAGGGAGCCUGCCCUGCCCCCGGUGCACGUCCGACCGGAGCCGCUCUAGGUGGCAACCUGGACUUCUGGGGAUCAUAAAGGGUGCAAGAGAAUGAAUUAGCUUUCCCUGCUGGAAGCUACAGUACCAUCAGAGAUCUGAGAGCAGCAUAGAAACGGAGACAUUUGUUUUGGACAUUUUUCAAGACACAGCUAUUGUUUAUACUUUGCAGUGGGCCAGGGCUGUAGAAGAGGAAAUUGUAACUUGUAAUAAGUAAGUUAGAGUGUGUACAUUAUGUGUUCUUGGAAUACUCAGCUCUCCACCUGAAGUACCAAAGGCUAAAUAGA